rfam:Glossina morsitans morsitans, isolate Yale, WGS project CCAG01000000 data, contig: ctg10001214
UUUAGUACGUAGGCGCCGUAGAUGGCGGUUCGUGCAUGCUGUUGCUACGGGCCAAUAGUAUCUUUGAAAGAAUU